GCUUACAUAGCACCAGAGCCCUCCGGUUUCAAUCUCUUUCUUGUGAUCAUAUCUCAUAAUUUCAACUCAAAGAACCGAACCAAAGCACCAGAACAAUGCAGAUUACCCCUCAAUUGGAUUAUAUUGAAUAUACAUUGGAUUGGAUUGAACACACUUACUAAAUGGUCCCAUUCCUAAUUUUUUAAAUUUCGUGUUGGCUUACAAUUACACACUAAGGUCAACUUCGUAAAAUUUAGAAAAUAACAAAAGUUUGGUCUGUUUUUGAUUGUAAUACUCUUUUUAACGUAUCAAAGCAGCAAUUAUUGGAAUGUUCACCUUGAAAAUUGGUGAAUAUGUUGAAGAGACGUUUUACUAGAAGCAAAAAUAUUUGUAUAAGAUUAGUAAGUCCACCAAUAUAAAUAUAGGUGGCAGAAUUUCAAACAAUGGAGACGCUUGUUGCCAUAGCAAUCAGUAUACUGACAGCUAUAUUUGUGGCUGCGUUGGUUGGACUUAUGAUGAUAUGCAGGCACAAACAUUGCAGAAAAUCGGACCAUAUUUCGUCACAGCUUAGAGAAAACAGGCCAGAAAAUCAACUUAUUACCAACAUGGAAGUUGAUCAUCCCACAACUGAUUUGGAAUUGGAUGAUGUAACACCAAAUCUCGACAGCAUCCUGAAUGACAACAAUUGGGUCGACGAUGUCUCAGGUCUGGCACCACACUGUCUCGAGAUACUUCGCACUUGCCACCUAUUGACUGAAAAACUGGUUGGCAUGACAAUGGGGAGAAAUCAGUUUCCAGAAACUAUGACAGAUGUUGUUGUCGCAGCUAAGAGGAUCUCCCCUCGUGUUGACGAGGUUGUCAGAGCAACAUAUCCUCCCUUGGAUCCACGGCUACUAGAGGCAAGAUGCACUGCCCUUGUGUUGUCUGUCAGCCAUCUUGUUUUAAUCGUGAAGAACGCAUGCCGAUUGUCUGGUGUCUUAGAUUGGAUUGACCAAUCACUGGCUGACGUGGAAGACCAUCUUAAGGUACUACGUGCUGCCAGUGAAGCAUAUGAACAGAGCAACCGUAGUGGACAAGGGAGCCCAAGUAAUGGCACCAGCACCUUAUCAGCCGCACCACCAACUACAACAGAGCCCUCCUCCCCAAGCAUGUCUGCAAUCUCAUCUCCCCAACAUAGCCAGCAACUUCAACAGGGCAUCUAUGAGCAGAAUGUAUCACCUUUGAACAUUGAGACAUCACCUGGUUCCGUACCACACAGCCCUCCACAGUUGAAUUCCCCUGAUAUCAUGCCAUUGAAUUCAAUUACAAAUAAUAAUAAUAACAACCCAGAUGUAACAUGUUAAAAACCAAAUUAAUUCCAAGUAAACAACUGCCUCAAGCAGGCGUUUUCCUGACAUACUCCACCUUACAAUGGUUUUGAGGACUUGUCUCUGUUGGCCAAAUAGACUUCUACGCAGUUGGAAUUCGAUGUAACAAAAUAGCAUUCCAUGUUAUCAGCUUUAUAGGUGUGUAUUGUAAAAUGCUAAAGAUUCGAUGCAUAUAUCAGCCAUGCAUAUUUUUCCUCUCAUCCAUGUUUAACUCUUUUCUGCCCAACUGGUGUGAUUGUUGUGUUUACUGCAAUGUCUUGGCUUGAAUAUCUCUAUUUUUGCUGUAAUUUUGGCUUUUAAUUCAAAAGAAUUGAAUGUAUUUCCAUAUAUAUAUAUAUGUAUCAAUGACAAAAGUGCUUAUUGUAAUGAAACAUUUCCUAUAAUUCUGGGCAGGAAAGAGUUAAAAGCUAUAUCGCCUAAAUGAGUGUCUGCAAUAAGAGUCCUCAUAAUCACAAUAGUGAUUUUACAGAGUACUAUAAGUAACACUAAAACUUAUGUUGAUAUUUACAGCUAUAUGUUAAAGGUACAUGACAUACAAUGAGAGGGAUAUGUGAAACUAUCUUAAAAUGAGAGCAUUUUUAUCAGA
rnacentral:misc_RNA from 1 species